rnacentral:lncRNA from 1 species
AAGUCUAUACACUGUACACUAUCUCUUUAUACAAUUUCAUGUCCAUACUAGCUAUUACAUCACUUUUCUUCUUCCAAACCCUGCUGGACUCCCUCUGGACUCUGAACCUGCAAAUCUGGGGGAUAGGGGAGAGGAAUGAGCUAUACAAGCCCAAUGAGCAGAACUAUAAAACAUGAGUUGAAAACAUGAUCUCAUGGAAUGCACUACAUCACAUCAUCUCAGGGAUCAGACAUGACCACCAACAAUCCCAC